rnacentral:lncRNA from 1 species
CCACCGACGAGACGGACUCAGGAGGGGCGAACGCUCCUGGGAAAUCCAGAAACUCUAGAGAAGCUUGUUUGCCAAACCUUGCUUUGGGCGGUGGAGACAGAAUAUCAUGUCCCAGAUCAGCGUGUGGUGACUGUGGAGGCAUUUACACACAGCACACUCCAGCUCUGCCACUGGGCCGGCUGAGGUGGCUGCGGUACACGGCGCCCAUCCUGAGCCCCAGGUUCCUCACAUGUCAACAGCAUGAAAAGUGCCUCUAAGACAUCCACAGGUGUGCAGUGUUAAAGCAGGAUUCUGCCAUGAUUGCCACCUCUGGAGACGUCACAGCCAGCACAGCCAUGACCAGGGAUGAACUUGGCCAUUGUCCAGCAGCACCAUGGGAGGACCAGCUGCUGUAAGUGAAGGUCAUCAUCCAUCUGAUUUGCUGGCUUUUUGCAACUACUGCGGUGGAAGUCUUAGAGUAGCCACCUUCUCUGUACUCAGACCUUCACUUCGCCAGAUGUCAGCACAGCAGUGUCAGCAGCUUCGUCAAACACAAACACCACCACCUCUCUGGAUCAGAAGCACAUGGAAAGCCCACCUUGCAAGAAGACCCAGCUAUUCCAAAAGUACCCAUAUCCCUGUAGCAUCCUCUUAGCUGAAUGUCUCUACUCCUUAAACUUGUACCACUUUGAAGAGUAAAAAUUUAAAUUCA